GUGUGUGGUUUAUGUGUGUAUGUAGGUGUGUGUAUGUGUACAGGUAUGUAUGCAUGUGUAGGUGUGUGUAGGUGUAGGGGCAUGUAUGCGUGUGGCGUGUGUGUAGGGGUGCAUGUGUGGGUGUGUGUGUAUGUGUAGGUGUAUGUGCAAGUAUGUGUGUAGGUGUGUGUAUGUGUAGGUCUCUGUGUGUGUGUAAGUGUAUGUGUAGGUGUGUGUAUGUAUAGGUUGUGUAGGGGUGUGUGUGUAGGGUAUGUAGUUGUAUGUAUGUAUAGGGGUGUGUAUGUGUAGGUGUAUGUGUAUCUGCGUGUGUAUAAUUGUGUAUCUGUAUCUGUGCAUGUAACUGUAUCUGUGUGUAUCUGGAUCUGUGUAUCUGUUUUCUGUAUAUCUGUGUGUGUGUGUGUGUGUGUGUGUGUGUGUGUUAUCUGUAUCUGUAUCUGUGUGUAUCUAUAUCUGGGUAUCUCUGUGUGUGUAUCUGGAUCCGUGUAUCUGUAACUGUGUGUAUCUGCAUCUGUGUAUGUGUGUGUGUGUAUCUGGAUCUGUGUAUCUGUGUGUAUAUCUAUGUCUAUGUAUAUCUGUGUAUCUGGAUGUGUGUAUAUAUCUGUGUGUGUAUCUGUAUAUCUGUUGUGUAUAUAUCUGUGUGUAUCUGUGUGUGUGUGUGUGUGUGUGUGUGUGUGUGUGUGUAGCAGCUCCCCACACCCAUCAUGGGCUACUUCCUUACUCCUGCAGCCCUUAUCCCUGUAAACAUGUUCUCCAAGUGACUGAAUAAAGUCCUUUUGAUGACUGGUUCCUUGACACAGACACAGUGAGAGCCCUGUUCCCCAUCCCCACCCCUGCCCCAGGCCCUGGGCCUCCGCUCAGAGGCCCAACCAGCACCAGGGCUGCCAGCAUGAGCCAGGGCCUCACAGCUGAGCUGAGCCGUGCUGGGGACAGCACACUCCGCGCUGGGGCCCGUGCGCAGUCUUGGAGACAGGCCUGUGACUGGAAAUGCUUCUGGGAAACCAGCAGAGGGAGGCAGCCACGCAGCUCAGAGAGAUGGGCGGGGGUUCCAGGCCUGGCACAGCAGCUCUCUGCAUGGUGGUGUCUGUGGGGGCCCUGGAGGAUCAGCUGCAGUUCUGUGAGCCUGUGGCCCAGCUGCUCACCUCUCCCAGAGCCCCCGCCCCUCCCAGCUGAAGAGCGCUCCUGGCAGAGGCCCCUGCAAAUCUCUGGCUUUAUCCUCCCCACACAUUGA
rnacentral:lncRNA from 13 species